GGUGCACCCGUGACCAGCUUGGAAACCAGAUUGCACAGCGAAGAAGGUACGGUGGAUUGUUAUUGGGGUUGUUGUUGGCGUUGUUGUUGGGGUUGUUGUUGGGGUUGUUGUUGGGGUUGUUAUUGGUUGUUGUUGGCGUUGUUGUUAUUGGGGUUGUUGUUAUUGGGGUUGUUGUUAGGUUUGUUAUUGGGGUUGUUAUUGGGGUUGUUGUUGGCGUUGUUAGGUUUGUUAUUGGUGUUGUUAUUGGGGUUGUUGUUAUUGGGGUUGUUAGGUUUGUUAUUGGUGUUGUUAUUGGGGUUGUUGUUAUUGGGGUUGUUAGGUUUGUUAUUGGGGUUGUUAGGUUUGUUAUUGGGGUUGUUGUUAUUGGGGUUGUUAGGUUUGUUAUUGGGGUUGUUAGGUUUGUUAUUGGGGUUGUUAGGUUUGUUAUUGGGGUUGUUAGGUUUGUUAUUGGGAUUGUUGUUGGGGUUGUUAUUGGGGUUGUUAUUGGGGUUGUUGUUGGGUUUGUUGUUAGGGUUGGCGUUGUUGUUAUUGGGGUUGUUGUUAUUGGGGUUGUUAUUGGUGUUGGGGUUGUUGUUAGGGUUGUUGUUGUUGUUAGGGUUGUUGUUGUUGUUAGGGUUGUUGUUGUUGUUAGGGUUGUUGUUAGGGUUGUUGUUGUUGUUAGGGUUGUUGGGGUUGUUGUUAGCGUUGUUGGGGUUGUUGUUAGGGUUGUUGUUGUUAGGGUUGUUGUUGUUGUUAGGGUUGCUGGGGUUGUUGUUAGCGUUGUUGGGGUUGUUGUUAGGGUUGUUGUUGUUGUUAGGGUUGUUGUUGUUGUUAGGGUUGUUGGGGUUGUUGUUAGCGUUGUUGGGGUUGUUGUUAGGGUUGUUGGGGUUGUUGUUAGCGUUGUUGGGGUUGUUGUUGUUAGGGUUGUUGUUGUUGUUAGGGUUGUUGGGGUUGUUGUUAUUGGGGUUGUUAUUGGUGUUGGGGUUGUUGUUAGGGUUGUUGUUGUUGUUAGGGUUGUUGUUGUUGUUGGUGUUGUUGGGUUUGUUGUUAGGGUUGUUGUUGUUAGGGUUGUUGGGGUUGUUGUUAGGGUUGUUGUUGUUGUUAGCGUUGUUGGGGUUGUUGUUAUUGGGGUUGUUAUUGGUGUUGGGGUUGUUGUUGUUAGCGUUGUUGGGGUUGUUGUUAUUGGGGUUGUUGUUGGUUGUUGGGGUUGUUGUUAGGGUUGUUGUUGUUGUUAGGGUUGUUGUUGUUGUUAGGGUUGUUGUUGUUGUUAGGGUUGUUGGGGUUGUUGUUGGGGUUGUUGUUAGCGUUGUUGGGGUUGUUGUUAGGGUUGCCAGUGAACAACAUGUGUAA
rnacentral:lncRNA from 8 species